UUCAUACAUGCAAGUCGAACGAGAAAAUUCCGCUUCGGUGGAAUGAGUAGAGUGGCAAACGGGUGAGUAACACGUGGGCAACCUGCUCUCAAAUUGGGGAUAACCUCGCCAACGCGGGGCUAAUACCGAAUGUUGUCCUAAUAUCGCAUGGUAUAAGGAUGAAAGCUUUUUUUUAAUAAGAAGGCGUUUGAGAAGGGGCCCGCGUCCUAUUAGCUUGUUGGUGAGGUAAUGGCUCACCAAGGCUGCGAUAGGUAGCCGGCCUGAGAGGGUGAUCGGCCACACUGGGACUGAGAUACGGCCCAGACUCCUACGGGAGGCAGCAGUAGGGAAUAUUGCGCAAUGGACGAAAGUCUGACGCAGCAACGCCGCGUGGGUGAUGAAGUUUUUCGGAACGUAAAACCCUGUCAGGAGGGAAGAAACUCUCGAUUUUUUCGGGACUGACGGUACCUCCAGAGGAAGCUCCGGCCAACUCCGUGCCAGCAGCCGCGGUAACACGGGGGGAGCAAGCGUUGUUCGGAUUUACUGGGCGUAAAGGGCGUGUAGGCGGAUGGGUCAGUCAGAUGUGAAAUUCCAGGGCUCAACUCUGGACCUGCAUUUGAUACUUCUCAUCUAGAGUAUGGGAGAGGAGAUCGGAAUUCCUGGUGUAGCGGUGAAAUGCGUAUAUCAGGAAGAACACCGGUGGCGAAGGCGGAUCUCUGGCCUAAUACUGACGCUGAUGCGCGAAAGCUGGGGGAGCAAACAGGAUUAGAUACCCUGGUAGUCCCAGCCGUAAACGAUGGGCACUAGGUGUUGGGGGUAUUGAUCCCCUCAGUGCCGGAGUUAACGCAUUAAGUGCCCCGCCUGGGGAGUACGCUCGCAAGGGUGAAACUCAAAGGAAUUGACGGGGGCCCGCACAAGCGGUGGAGCAUGUGGUUUAAUUCGGUGCAACGCGAAGAACCUUACCGGGGUUUGACAUGCCCGUCAUACCUUGAUGAAAGUCAAGGGUCAGUUCGGCUGGACGGUGCACAGGUGCUGCACGGCUGUCGUCAGCUCGUGUCGUGAGAUGUUGGGUUAAGUCCCGCAACGAGCGCAACCCUUACCCUUAGUUGCCAGCACGUAAUGGUGGGAACUCUAAGGGGACUGCCUCGGAUAACGGGGAGGAAGGUGGGGAUGACGUCAAGUCCUCAUGGCCCUUAUGCUCCGGGCUACACACGUGCUACAAUGGUCGGUACAGAGGGCUGCGAAACCGCGAGGUGGAGCUAAUCCCAGAAAGCCGAUCUCAGUUCGGAUUGGAGUCUGCAACUCGACUCCAUGAAGUCGGAAUCGCUAGUAAUCGCGAAUCAGCAGGUCGCGGUGAAUACGUUCCCGGGCCUUGUACACACCGCCCGUCAAGCGAUGGAAGCUGGUGGUACCCGAAGUCAGUAGCCUAACUUUUCGAAGAGGGAGCUGCCGAAGGUAAAACUGGUGACUGGCGCUAAGU
rnacentral:rRNA from 1 species